AUGGUCAAAGUGGUCUUCAAGGGCAGUCCCAUAUACAGUAAAUAACAGUAAUCCAAAGGCAAAUAAGAGUAGUCCUCUUCAGAGCAUCCUGUCUAGCAACUAGACCUGCCCGUUCAGGACCAAGCAGAACCUACAUAAAAUGAUGCCUCCAACUUCCAGUCUUUGCAGAAUUCCUAAAAGGAUGCUUUAGUCAACAAUGUAAAGGCUUCUGGGAGAUAUAGGAGGACAUGGACGGUUGCAUUCCUGCCCUUCAUGCCUCACCAUACAUCAUCACUCACAAUGCAGUUUCUAUUCCAUAUACUAACCUGAAUCCUGACUGCCAAGAGUCCAGAUGGUUCAUUUCUUCCAAAAGCUAAAGAUGAUGGCUUGAUUAAAGGAAAACCCCUCAAGGAAGAA